rnacentral:rRNA from 1 species
AAAUUGAAGAGUUUGAUCAUGGCUCAGAUUGAACGCUGGCGGCAGGCCUAACACAUGCAAGUCGAACGGUAACAGGAAUCAGCUUGCUGAUUUGCUGACGAGUGGCGGACGGGUGAGUAAUGUCUGGGAAACUGCCUGAUGGAGGGGGAUAACUACUGGAAACGGUAGCUAAUACCGCAUAAUGUCGCAAGACCAAAGAGGGGGACCUUCGGGCCUCUUGCCAUCGGAUGUGCCCAGAUGGGAUUAGCUAGUAGGUGGGGUAACGGCUCACCUAGGCGACGAUCCCUAGCUGGUCUGAGAGGAUGACCAGCCACACUGGAACUGAGACACGGUCCAGACUCCUACGGGAGGCAGCAGUGGGGAAUAUUGCACAAUGGGCGCAAGCCUGAUGCAGCCAUGCCGCGUGUAUGAAGAAGGCCUUCGGGUUGUAAAGUACUUUCAGCGGGGAGGAAGGGAGUAAAGUUAAUACCUUUACUCAUUGACGUUACCCGCAGAAGAAGCACCGGCUAACUCCGUGCCAGCAGCCGCG